GCAGCUCUUGCACCCUUUUCCCUCUCUGCUUUUGCAGAACUUGCAAUAGCUUUUGUAGGACUUCAUGAAAACUCCUCAUGCUGCAUUCUUUUUACCAUCUCUAAGUAUGAUUUUACUCAACAUACUCGACAAAUGUCAGAUGAACUAUAGGGAAAUAUUUGAUUGCAUGGGAACUCUGCGCUUAGGGCUAGUGGUUUUUUGUUUAACUGCACUGUUAGGUCCAUGAAAGAGCAAGAUACUCAAGCACAGACCCCUUCAUCGUACAGCUUGUUUACAAAUGUGAGUGGCUGCUUCCGUGGGAUCUCACCUAACACACAACUGGCCUUAAUUAUUGGGGUGGGUGCUUCAGUCUCUCAUGGGCUACUAAAAGCAUUUUCUUGCAAGAGAUCAGGAUUUUCCACCAUCAAGAAAUCUAAAGCUUUUCAUUGCUGUGCGGUAGGACAUACUGGUUGCAACUAAAACCAGUGCUGGAACUGUAAAUAAAGGUUGAUUUUGUCCAUUUUUCACAGGCAUUCAUCCAAACCAAGCCAUUUCAGGUUCAGGCCAGUUGGAGUAGCUGAAUACAGACACAGAGAUGCUACUUAAGGACAAGAUGAAGUAAUGAGAGAGCAGAGGGAGGAGGAGAUGCAAGAGAGAAGACAAGAAUUUGUUAGAAUAUUUAAAGAGCUCGGUCAUAGACAUCAAGUGCAUCUUGUCCUGGUCUUUCAGUUUGAACAUGAGGAUAAAAUAUGGAAUCACCAGGGUCAGAACAGAGCAAGGGCAAAGGAAGCCAAAACUCAUUAUCAGCAACUAAGUUUCCAAAUACUGAAUAGUUUGUCUGUCCUUGUUAGGCCUGUUUUCUAGAUUUAAAAAUAGCCAAGAUUACUCUUCAAUCAACACUUGCAAAUUAUGAUCUGGCAGUGACCUGUGCGGAGCAUUCUGCAUGUCUGUGCUGUUUGGGUGGUCACAGAUUUACGAGUUUUCCUGAAUGCCUCCUGGAUAGCUGGGAGGAAGGCCACGGUUCUUUUAGGCACAUAAAUAAAUGCCAGUUGUGGUAGUGGCA
rnacentral:lncRNA from 1 species